CAGCACCUCAAGUGGGCAGGAUGAUUAUUGGGCCUAAAGCAUCCGUAGCCGGCUCUGUAAGUUUUCGGUUAAAUCUGUACGCUCAACGUACAGGCUGCCGGGAAUACUGCAGAGCUAGGGAGUGGGAGAGGUAGACGGUACUCGGUAGGAAGGGGUAAAAUCCUUUGAUCUAUUGAUGACCACCUGUGGCGAAGGCGGUCUACCAGAACACGUCCGACGGUGCGGGAUGAAAGCUGGGGGAGCAAACCGGAUUAGAUACCCGAGUAGUCC
rnacentral:rRNA from 1 species